GUGCACCAGGCGCGAAUCUUCGGCAAUGGACGCAAGUCUGACCGAGCGACGCCGCGUGCGGGAUGAAGGCCCUUGGGUUGUAAACCGCUGUCAGAGGGGAUGAAAUGCGAGAGGGCUAUCCCUCUCGUUUGACAGAGCCUCAGAGGAAGCACGGGCUAAGUACGUGCCAGCAGCCGCGGUAACACGUACUGUGCGAACGUUAUUCGGAAUCACUGGGCUUAAAGGGUGCGUAGGCGGUUUAGUAAGUAGGGUGUGAAAUGCCAGAGCUCAACUUUGGCACGGCGCCCUAAACUGCUAAACUUGAGUGAGAUAGGGGUGUACGGAACUUCCGGUGGAGCGGUGAAAUGCGUUGAUAUCGGAAGGAACACCGGUGGCGAAAGCGGUACACUGGGGUCUUAACUGACGCUGAGGCACGAAAGCCAGGGUAGCGAACGGGAUUAGAUA
rnacentral:rRNA from 1 species